rnacentral:lncRNA from 1 species
CACAGGAAGAGCACAGGCACUUUAGAAAGACCCACAUAAAUGAACGGAGCUCUGAAAAUAGGUCAAAAGAAAAGGGACACACAGUAAAACUGCAAUUUUUAAAAAAUAGUCAAAAUAUUAAGAAUGAGAAGUAGUAGUGAGCACCCUAAAUGGUGAGCUUUGUACCCGCUGAAAUACAGGAAGGUGAACUGUCACCCUUUACUAAGAAUAGAAUGUCACAGGUCUGAAAAAGAUGGGAAAAUAGCACGUAAAUCUAUAUUUUAUUGCCAAAACAAGGGAACAUCAAGAAGUCAUCAAAUGCCAUCCUUACAGGUCAGGUUAAAGGAGACAGUGUUGACGUCGUAUGUCAGAGGCCCCUCCUGGAGCUGGAGCAUGGGUCCCAGUGACUCCCAGGCCUGUGGCUAGCUGGCUGGUGUAGGACAGUAACCAGAGUUGGGUUCCACGCUUCUCUUUGUUUUGGAGAUGAAGAUUCGAGGGCUGAACUAUGAUUCGCCCAUCUAAUCAGCAGCACACAGGACUCCUGACCCACGCUCACUGCUGCAAAGCCAACACUCUCUGCCUCUCACAGGCCAGUUCUGGGGAGGCCCAGCAGUCCAGGUAAUCACCGUAGCCCUGACCCACAGCCAGAGUAGAUGCUCACUUCCUGAAGCCGGCCCACAGAACUCUCAGCUUAUCCAAGAUGAACUCCGCACACCUGAAGCUCUUACAGGAGUGUUCCAGGAGAGGGACACGAGCCUGUGGACUCCCACGGCAUGAACGUCCCAGCCAGGCUGCCAGGAUGACCCUGCUCUUCCUGACCUCCUCGCCCCUCUGUGGGGUGAGUGUGAGUACAGAGUACUAAGGGACACAGGAUCAGUUCUUGAGAGGAUGAGAGCCAGGCAUAGAUCAUCCCUGCAAGAAUUUAGGGUUACGUAGGGUCCAUGUGCUAUAGCAAAAUGUGACUGUACCAUGGAGUGGAACUAAUAUUUCCUUAUUAAAGGACUACACAGUGAGACACUGGUGCCCCAAGGCCACUCUAGCUUCCC